rnacentral:rRNA from 1 species
AGAACGAACGCUGGCGGCAUGCCUAACACAUGCAAGUCAAACGUGAUCCAGGCUUCGGCCUGGUGAAAGUGGCAGACGGGUGAGUAACGCGUGGGAACCUGCCCUGUGGUACCCGGGAAUAACCGCGGGAAACUGCGGCUAAUACCCUAUGAGUCCUUCGGGAGAAAGAUUUAUCGCCAUAGGAGGGCCCGCGUCGGAUUAGGUAGUUGGUGGGGUAACGGCCUACCAAGCCUUCGAUCCGUAGCUGGUCUGAGAGGAUGAUCAGCCACACUGGGACUGAGAUACGGCCCAGACUCCUACGGGAGGCAGCAGUGGGAAUAUUGGACAAUGGGGGCAACCCUGAUCCAGCAAUGCCGCGUGGGUGAUGAAGGCCUUCGGGUUGUAAAGCCCGUUUCGGCGGGAAGAUGAUGACGGUACCGCAGAAGAACGCCCGGCUAACUUCGCGCCAGCAGCCGC